ensembl:lncRNA
GCGGGGCUUGGCGGAACGCGGCUAGCGGGACGGAGUCAGCAGACAUUGGGAAAUGUGAGGCAAAAGGAAUGUGAGUGGAUGCAGCUUCAGUUGGUUCUGAUGAUUCUGAUUCAAAGUGUUCAAAACUCUUUGGAAAGUGUUGCAGGAGUCACAGCAUUACUUUCUUCAAACUGAACCUCUGCAAACUCUUCAGGCAUGUCAGCAGGGAGGAUCAUCAAAGGAAAGUUGCAACUCUUCUUAACCAUUCAGAAUUUCUUUUUGUUGGAACCGAAAAGACACAAGUGAUGUCCCAGCAUCAAAACCAGGGAUCAGAACUGAGCAGGAUGGAAGACAUUUUGAAUAUAAGCAUAUGGUAAGCUUCAUGGCUACAAGCUCAGCUCAGUUGUGACAGCAGAACACAUUGUGAAAAGCUUGGAAGGGCAGUGAUAUACAGGACACGAGAUACUGUUAGGUGCAGUUGCUGGUCAUGGCUUACUUGAAGGUUGUAAAGUUGCUUCAUGUCUUUCUGAUUCCAUUAAAACAAACUAAAUUAUGUCCAGCUGGCAGAAUAUCAAAUUCCUGCAUAUAAACUCAGAAAUUGUUUGAAUACAUGGGGUGAAGCCUGGGGUGCUGGAUUUAUGCAGGAAUUAUCUCAAUCUCUGGCUAUUUGUGCAAGCAUUCUCUGUACCUCGAAUGUUUCCUGGAAGUAACCGUUUUAAACUCAACAUUUCUUCCCCAGCCGGCCUCACCUGUUAGUUUGUAUCCAGGGCAGCUGGAGCACUGGGGAAAGGAGGG